AUGAGAACUCAUCAUUCUCUUCUUUUUAACAGUGGCGCACCAAAUCAAACUCCUUCUUCAUCACCGCCACAGAACACCACCACAACAACUCAUCUCUACCUCAACCUUUUAGGAUUUCCCCCCCCCCCCCCCGUCUCAGCUUUAUUUCGCUUCUCGUUUCGAUUCAACAUCAAAAUUCAUCUAUGUUUCUCCAUAUCAAAUCAUUUGGAAUCAAACUCACAUGAACCGCACGAAAUCGAAGAGGGAAAGGAAGAUAUAGAUCUUACCUACUGGAGAAAAUGUCAGGUGCUUCUUCAGCUUAGAAUCAGAAGAUGA